rnacentral:rRNA from 1 species
GACGAACGCUGGCGGCGUGCUUAACACAUGCAAGUCGAACGGAAAGGCCCUGCUUUUGUGGGGUGCUCGAGUGGCGAACGGGUGAGUAACACGUGAGUAACCUGCCCUUGACUUUGGGAUAACUUCAGGAAACUGGGGCUAAUACCGGAUAGGAGCUCCUGCUGCAUGGUGGGGGUUGGAAAGUUUCGGCGGUUGGGGAUGGACUCGCGGCUUAUCAGCUUGUUGGUGGGGUAGUGGCUUACCAAGGCUUUGACGGGUAGCCGGCCUGAGAGGGUGACCGGGCACAUUGGGACUGAGAUACGGCCCAGACUCCUACGGGAGGCAGCAGUGGGGAAUAUUGCACAAUGGGCGGAAGCCUGAUGCAGCAACGCCGCGUGCGGGAUGACGGCCUUCGUGUUGUAAACCGCUUUCGCCUGUGACGAAGCGUGAGUGACGGUAAUGGGUAAAGAAGCACCGGCUAACUACGUG